rnacentral:rRNA from 1 species
GAUUUAUCGCCUUUGGAGGGGCCCGCGUCAGAUUAGGUAGUUGGUGGGGUAAUGGCCUACCAAGCCUUCGAUCUGUAGCUGGUCUUAGAGGAUGAUCAGCCACACUGGGACUGAGAUACGGCCCAGACUCCUACGGGAGGCAGCAGUGGGGAAUAUUGGACAAUGGGGGCAACCCUGAUCCAGCAAUGCCGCGUGAGUGAUGAAGGCCUUCGGGUUGUAAAGCUCUUUUGCCAGGGACGAUAAUGACGGUACCUGGAGAAUAAGCCCCGGCUAACUUCGUGCCAGCAGCCGCGGUAAUACGAAGGGGGCUAGCGUUGUUCGGAAUUACUGGGCGUAAAGGGCGCGUAGGCGGUCUGAUAAGUUAGGUGUGAAAUUCCCGGGCUUAACCUGGGCGCUGCACUUAAUACUGUCGGGCUUGAAUCCGGGAGAGGAUAGCGGAAUUCCCAGUGUAGAGGUGAAAUUCGUAGAUAUUGGGAAGAACACCAGUGGCGAAGGCGGCUAUCU